rnacentral:misc_RNA from 1 species
AAAAAAAAAAUGGGUUCUAAAGCAUUUCUGAUUCUUGGCCUUUUUUUGGCCAUAUUUGUAAUGAUAAGUUCUGAUGUUUUAGCUAGGGAGUUGGCUGAGACUUCCACUACUACUUCUGAAGAGGAUUCCAAGAAAUCCAGUAACAAAAAUGAAGUACAUGAAGCCGAAUAUGGCGGGUACCCCGGUGGUGGCGGUGGAUACCCUGGUGGUGGUGGAUACC